rnacentral:rRNA from 1 species
GAUGAACGCUGGCGGCAUGCCUAAGACAUGCAAGUCGAACGAGGUGGCCCAAAGAAGAUUGAGUGCUUGCACAAGAUUGGACUUGGAUUACCACCUAGUGGCGGACGGGUGAGUAACACGUAGGUGACCUACCUUUGAGUUUGGGAUAACUAUUAGAAAUGAUAGCUAAUACCGGAUUAAAUGCAGAUUCGUUUCUGUAUUAAAAGGAGCCUUUAAAGCUUCGCUUAAAGAUGGGGCCUGCGGCGUAUUAGCUAGUUGGUAGGUAACGGCUUACCAAGGCGACGAUGCAUAGCCGAGUUGAGAGACUGAUCGGCCACAUUGGGACUGAGACACGGCCCAAACUCCUACGGGAGGCAGCAGUAGGGAAUCUUCCACGAUGGACGCAAGUCUGAUGGAGCAACGCCGCGUGACGUGAAGAAGGUUUUCGGAUCGUAAAGCUC